rnacentral:snRNA from 1 species
CUGUACAGUGGUCAAAUGU